rnacentral:rRNA from 1 species
AGAGUUUGAUCCUGGCUCAGGAUGAACGCUGGCGGCGUGCCUAACACAUGCAAGUCGAGCGAUUCUCUUCGGAGAAAAUCGGCGGACGGGUGAUUAACGCGUGGGUAACCUGACCUGUGCACACCGAUAGCAUACCCAGAGGUAUGCUAGUACGAGAAUAACAUAAGAAAUUCGCAUGUUAUUUCUUAUCAAAGCUCCGGCGGUACAGGAUGGACCCGCGUCUGAUUAUAUAGUUGGUGAGGUAACGGCUCCCCAAGGCGACGAUCAGUAGCCGACCUGAGAGGGUGAUCAGCCACAUUGGAACUGAGACGCGGUCCAAUCUCCUGCGGGAGGCCGCAGUGGGGAAUAUUGCACAAUGGGCGAAAGCCUGAUGCAGCAACGCCGCGUGAGCGAUGAAGGCCUUCGGGUUGUAAAGCUCUGAUCCUCAAGGAAGAUAAUGACGGUACUUGAGGAGGAAGCCCCGGCUAACUACCUGCCCUCAGCCGCGGUAAUAUGUAGGGGGCUAGCGUUAUCCGGAUUUACUGGGUGUAAAGGGUGCGUAGGCGGUCUUUUAUGUCAGGAGUGAAAGGUUGCGUCUCAACCGUAGUAAGUUCUUGAAAUUGGAGGAUUUGAGUUCAGGAGAGGAGAGUGGAAUUCUUAGUGUAGCGGUGAAAUGGGUAGAUAUUAGGAGGAACCCCAGUAGGGAAGGGGGCUCUUUGGACUGUAACUGACGUUGAGGCAGGAAAGCGUGGGGAGCAACCAGGAUUAGAUCCCUGGGUAUUCCACCCCGUAAACGAUGAGUAUAGGCUGUUGGGAGGCUACCCCCUUCGGUGGCGCAGCUAACGCAUUAAGUACUCCGCCUGGGGAGUACGCUCGCAAGAGUGAAACUCAAAGGAAUUGACGGGGACCCGCACAAGUAGGCGGAGCAUGUGGUUUAAUUCGAAGCAACGCGAAGAACCUUACCUAAUCUUGAUAUCCUUAUGACCGAUGCGUAAUGGCAUUUUUCCUUUCGGGGACAGAAGUCACAGGUGGUGCAUGGUUGUUGUCAGCUCGUGUCGAGAGAUGUUGGGUUAAGUCCCGCAACGAGCGCCCCCCUUGCCUUUAGUCGCCAUCAUUAAGUUGGGCACUCUAGAGGGACUCCCAGGGAUAACCUGGAGGAAGGUGGGGAUGACGUCAAAUCAUCAUGCCCCUUAUGAUUAGGGCUACACACGUGCUACAAUGGGUGGUACAGAGGGCAGCGAAGUCGUGAGGCCAAGCUAAUCCCUUAAAGCCAUUCUCAGUUCGGAUUGUAGUCUGAAACUCGCCUACAUGAAGCUGGAGUUACUAGUAAUCGCAGAUCAGAAUGCUGCGGUGAAUGCGUUCCCGGGUCUUGCACACACCGCCCGUCA